rnacentral:rRNA from 1 species
UGGGGAAUAUUGGACAAUGGGCGAAAGCCUGAUCCAGCCAUGCCGCGUGUGUGAAGAAGGUCUUCGGAUUGUAAAGCACUUUAAGUUGGGAGGAAGGGCAGUAAGCGAAUACCUUGCUGUUUUGACGUUACCGACAGAAUAAGCACCGGCUAACUCUGUGCCAGCAGCCGCGGUAAUACAGAGGGUGCAAGCGUUAAUCGGAAUUACUGGGCGUAAAGCGCGCGUAGGUGGUUCGUUAAGUUGAAUGUGAAAGCCCCGAGCUCAACCUGGGAACUGCAUCCAAAACUGGCGAGCUAGAGUAGGGCAGAGGGUGGUGGAAUUUCCUGUGUAGCGGUGAAAUGCGUAGAUAUAGGAAGGAACACCAGUGGCGAAGGCGACCACCUGGGCUCAUACUGACACUGAGGUGCGAAAGCGUGGGGAGCAAACAGG